rnacentral:misc_RNA from 1 species
GAUGAAGAACGUAGCGAAAUGCGAUAAGUAAUGCGAAUUGCAGAAUCCGUGAGUCAUCGAAUCUUUGAACGCACAUUGCGCCCUUUGGUAUUCCGAAGGGCAUGCCUGUUCGAGCGUCAUUAUCACCACUCAAGCCCGGCUUACUGUUGGUGGCAGCGCAGCCGGUCAACCGGCUACGCUCCACCCAAAGAUAAUGACGGCGUCUGCGAGGACUCCUGUACAUUGAGCUUUCGGGCACGUACAUGGCUAGAAGUCCAGGCGCCGGUCGACGUCCUCCGGGACACUUUUUACCAAGGUUGACCUCGGAUCAGGUAGGGAUACCCGCUGAACUUAAGCAUAUCAAUAAGCGGAGGA